CUACGGGGCGCAGCAGUGAGGAAUUUUGCGCAAUGGGGGAAACCCUGACGCAGCAACGCCGCGUGAGUGAUGAAGGCCUUCGGGUCGUAAAACUCUGUCAAGUGGGAAGAACCUAUGUAAGGUUAAUACCCUUAUGUACUGACGGUACCACUGAAGGAAGCACCGGCUAACUCCGUGCCAGCAGCCGCGGUAAUACGGAGGGUGCAAGCGUUAUUCGGAAUUAUUGGGCGUAAAGGGCGCGCAGGCGGUUUUGUAAGUCAGAUGUGAAAGCCCGGGGCUUAACCUCGGAAGUGCAUUUGAUACUGCAAGACUUGAGUAUGGGAGGGGGAAGUGGAAUUCCUGGUGUAGAGGUGAAAUUCGUAGAUAUCAGGAGGAACACCAGUGGCGAAGGCGACUUCCUGGACCAAUACUGACGCUGAGGCGCGAAGGCGUGGGGAGCAAACAGGAUUAGAUACCCCGGUAGUC
rnacentral:rRNA from 1 species